rnacentral:tRNA from 1 species
GGAGCUGUGGCUUAGUGAUAGAGCAUCUAUCAGUGAUAGAAAGUCCUAGGUUCAAUAUCUGGCAUCUCCA